UCUCUGUUUUUUCCUGAAGUGUGUUCGGCUAUUAAUGCAUAGGUCGUCAUUUCAAAGUGUCUGUUUGUACGGCAAACAUGUUUUGCAAUGGCGCAGCUAGCAGAUAUCGGUGGAACACCUGUAGGACACCCACCUCGCCCCGUGUGAUUUUUGGGCAUUUCCAACGUAUAAACAUAAGCUUUGAUAAGCCGGCCAAGCAGCUUCUCAUCCGGUGUACUGAGGUCAUCCUCAUCUCCCAUGUUUACUCCUGCCUCUCGCAGCAUUGCCACUGCUGUUGCAAACUCCAGCUUAAGUGGAGGGUCCAGGAAUUUGAAGGGUUCAACUGCAAACUGCUGUCCAACGCCAGCAAUCUCAUCAGCGUAUCUGCAGCAAUAUAAAGUUACGUUACCACAGUAUCUUUGAUUCAAGGGACAGAUCAUACAUAUCAAGUAAUGCUGGGAGUAUUACAUUGUAACAUAGGGUUAAUGAAUACAAGUCUCAUAAAAAUCCAUAGAACCACUAAACAGAAUGGAAUGAGCUGGGAUAGCUCAGUAAGUAUAGUGACUAGCUAUGGGCUGGGUGACAGGUUCAAUCCUCUAUACUCUGUAUCAGGACCAGCUCUGGGGCCCACCCAGCCUCCUAUCCAGUGGGUACUGGGGUCCCUUUCCGGUGGUAAAGCAUGGCCAGGGCGUGAUGCUGACCACUCGCCCCCAUCUAGUGCAGAGGUCAAGAAUGAGUAGGAGCUAUACCACCUUUUUGCCCAAGCAACCUACAUGGUGUGUAGUGGGACUGCUUUACUUUUCUUUUCACAUAAGAAUGAAAUGUGUGAAAUAGAAUGAAAAAUGAGAUGCAUAUAUUACAAACAUGAUAUAAAUUACAUACUGAAAUAUGGAACAUAUAAGUUACAAAAGUGAGGUUUAGCUGACAAGAUGUGUACUGUGAAGUGUGUACAAACACUCUUAGUAAUCAGUUGAUUUCUAUAACAGGUGCUUUGACUGGCUAUAUAUAAUGUGUACUCAUUACAGCAAGAAAUACUUUGAAAUUAUAAGCUCUCACAUAACUCAAUCUAUGUUACUUCUCUACUUUCCUUCUUCAUUUUCUGUCUGCAUUAAUCUGUACUUUGUCAUAACUGUAAUUCUUAUUGACAGAUGUCUGGAGCUGAGAUAUUUCCAGCAGUAUAUUCACCUGUCACGAAGUCCUUUGAACAUCUGUGUGAAGGUGUCGCCAAUGGUGUCAAGGACCUCGUGGUAGUGGUACUUGAAUGCCAUCUCCAGGUCCAGGCCCACAAACUCAGUAAGAUGACGGUACAUACUUACUACUCACAGUUCAAGAAGAAGAAAAAAGGAAUAUAAUUCUGAUGGACUGGAACAGAGGGAACCAUAGCAUGGGUGACAAGCACGUCUACUUGCUGGGAGGUGACAAUGGCAAGUGACAAGUGUUAGCAGGCAAUGAAAAAUACCUUUUCUGUAAGGAUAUCUCUGAACAGCUUGCAUACACCAGCCUCAAGGCGGAAGAUAGCCUGGUUGGCUGGGGUCCUUAGAUCAAGCACUCGGUUGUCCAGUCGCGUGUCCUGGUUCACUCGGAUGUUCAGACCUUCUGGAUCCUGCAGCAACGCAAUAGAAGUUACGGUACAUCCAUAUGUAAUGUAAACAUAGGAAAGUUUUACACCCAGAAUCACUGCAGAAACUGUAAAGAGAAUGAAGAGUUAAAUUACAGCAGUUUCCAUGUACAACUAUGACUGAUUUGCUACCUAACAAUAAAAAACUCAAGAUCACUGGUUUUAA